AGGAGAUGAAAGAAAUAUACAGGCAACCAUUAAUUAUGCAAAUUACAACUUAUAUACAGAUGGAGAAUUCUUACAUUUUUUAGUAAAUAAUUUGUUACUCAAGUUCUCUCAAAUCCAACAGACAUGUUCCUAGGGGGAGCUGUUUUUUUUAUUCUUUAUUUAUUCAAUUAGCAUAAUAGGAGAAAUGUGCACUGCUGUUAAUUUAUACAUUCAUUCUUUCUGUGGAUAAACUGACCAAUAUUUCUUCUGUGCUUACAGGAGUCCGGUACAGGGCAAUGGUAUUCAGGAUAAAAAUGUAAUGGAAGACACAGUUCCUGCCUUGAAGAGGUUACAUCUGGGUUGGGAGAUGUAUGAUACAUACACGAAACAACUGGGGAAAACACCAGGCUGGAUAAAAUCAAGUGUUCGGGUGCUUGGUUCAGGUUGCAAGCACUGUAGAGUCUCAGAAGCAAGAAAGAUCACACAAGAAGAGAAAUCAAAGAGCAGUUACUUUGAAAGGUGUCUACUGAUGUGUGACCACCAUGGUUGGUGCCUGGGCCUUGGUUCAUGCAGGCCCCUUGGAAGAAUGUCUCCCUGGUGCUUUCUGGACUGCUGGCUCUUUCUACUACUUUCCUGCCACUCUCAAGCAUGGGCAGCAAGAAACUUGA